AGAGUUUGAUCCUGGCUCAGGAUGAACGCUGGCGGCGUGCUUAACACAUGCAAGUCGAACGAUCCUUCGGGAUAGUGGCGGACGGGUGAGUAACGCGUGGGAAUCUGCCCUCAGGAGGGGGAUAACGGCUGGAAACGGCCGCUAAUACCCCAUAUGCCGAGAGGUGAAAUGAAUUUCGCCUGAGGAUGAGCCCGCGUCUGAUUAGCUAGUUGGUGGGGUAAAGGCCUACCAAGGCAACGAUCAGUAGCUGGUCUGAGAGGAUGAUCAGCCACACUGGGACUGAGACACGGCCCAGACUCCUACGGGAGGCAGCAGUGGGGAAUUUUCCGCAAUGGGCGAAAGCCUGACGGAGCAACGCCGCGUGAGGGAUGAAGGCCUCUGGGCUGUAAACCUCUUUUCUCAAGGAAGAAGACCUGACGGUACUUGAGGAAUAAGCCACGGCUAAUUCCGUGCCAGCAGCGGCGGUAAUACGGGAGUGGCAAGCGUUAUCCGGAAUUAUUGGGCGUAAAGCGUCCGCAGGCGGCCUUGUAAGUCUGUUGUUAAAGCGUGGAGCUCAACUCCAUUUAAGCAAUGGAAACUACAAGGCUGGAGUGUGGUAGGGCAGAGGGAAUUCCCGGUGUAGCGGUGAAAUGCGUAGAUAUCGGGAAGAACACCAGUGGCGAAGGCGCUCUGCUGGGCCAUAACUGACGCUCAUGGACGAAAGCCAGGGGAGCGAAAGGGAUUAGAUACCCCUGUAGUCCUGGCCGUAAACGAUGAACACUAGGUGUCGGGGGAAUCGACCCCCUCGGUGUCGUAGCCAACGCGUUAAGUGUUCCGCCUGGGGAGUACGCACGCAAGUGUGAAACUCAAAGGAAUUGACGGGGGCCCGCACAAGCGGUGGAGUAUGUGGUUUAAUUCGAUGCAACGCGAAGAACCUUACCAGGGUUUGACAUCCUGCGAACCCCUGAGAAAUCGGGGGGUGCCUUCGGGAGCGCAGAGACAGGUGGUGCAUGGCUGUCGUCAGCUCGUGUCGUGAGAUGUUGGGUUAAGUCCCGCAACGAGCGCAACCCACGUCUUUAGUUGCCAGCAUUCAGUUGGGCACUCUAGAGAGACCGCCGGUGAUAAACCGGAGGAAGGUGUGGAUGACGUCAAGUCAUCAUGCCCCUUACAUCCUGGGCUACACACGUACUACAAUGCUACGGACAAAGGGCAGCAAGCUCGCGAGAGUUAGCAAAUCCCAUAAACCGUGGCUCAGUUCAGAUCGUAGGCUGCAACUCGCCUACGUGAAGGAGGAAUCGCUAGUAAUCGCAGGUCAGCAUACUGCGGUGAAUACGUUCCCGGGCCUUGUACACACCGCCCGUCACACCAUGGAAGUUGGCCAUGCCCGAAGUCGUUACUCCAACCCUUGUGGAGGAGGACGCCGAAGGUGGGGCUGAUGACUGGGGU
rnacentral:rRNA from 1 species